ACAAUAACUGAAAUAUCCACGUCACUCGGAAACCCUAGAAUGCCGCUUGUUUAUUCCCAGGUCGCCGCACGCCGUUGCUGAGAUCGCUGCACGCCAUUGCUGCUCGUCCCCGCACGCCGUUGCUACUCAUCGCUGUCGCUGCUCGUCGCCGCACGCCGUCGCUGCUCAUUACCGCACGCCGUCGUUGCUCGUCGCCGCAGGCUGUCGCUGCUCGUCACCGCACGCCGCCGCUACUCGUCGCAAUGCACCAGAGCUGUGACUGCACGACCUCCGUUCGUAGCAUCCCUUCCCCUUCAAAUCAGGUUUAGCCGUUCAGACUUCAGGGCAGACUGCAGAGCCUCUGCCGCAGAGGCCGAGAGGCGCACACGCUGACGCACAGUUCACGUCUCCACACAGAGGGCCAAAUCCCCCUUCUUCUCCUCUGAAUUGGCUUGGACAGGGAUUUUUACUUGUUGAUUUGGUUAGAUUCAGAAUUGGACCAUUUGGUGCUCUCGAUAUGUGAAUGGAUCGCCUUGGCUGAUACUCGAGGGCCUCAAGCUACAGUUCAGUCACACGUUCUUAGCUUGGGAAACUGUCUGUUUAUCUUAGCUUUGAAGGCGAUUCGCUGAAGUGCGGACUAUCGAACCAGGUUCAGGACCCGAUCUCUCCAGACUGCUGCAACACAACCCUCCAUAGGCCCCUCGCCAUCUCUCACUCUCAUCACAGUCUCAGCAAGCACUAUCAACGCCACUGCUCAGGGAGUCGCCAAACAAUGCAGGAAAUCCAGACAGACAGACGGACCAAACUCCACACCAUUACAGACAGUUUUUACUACCCCGCUAAGAGGGUGAGUUUUGAGCUUGGAUCAACUUGUUUCUAGUGUAUGAUUCUAGUUUUGUCUUUUGAGGUUGUGACGAUUAUAUAUAUACAUUACAGACAUAGUGAGGUUUUUUAUAAACUCCGGUACUAUAUAUUUUGUAUGGAAAUUAUGUUUACAGCUGCUUAGGUGUCC